CUGCCUUCUAUUUGGUUCAGGACCUAUUUACUAAUGCGUUCCGAAUAGGCUACUGGCAACUACACAUCGCGUUACACUAAAGACUAUUUACCCCUAGCUGGUAAUACGAACAGGAGUGGAUCUGUGCGUGGAAACCUCAUGUGGCCCAUCUAAUUAAAAGGAGUUUAAUUCACACUCCAGGCUGUUAUUUAAAGACCAGAGGAUUGAGAAGACAGUUUCCCUGUCCUGAUGGAGGUCCGACCAAACGAACAUGCAAUAAUCCGCCCCAGUCGUCCAGGCUCAGCGGGCCCCAGAGCUGCAGCCCUCGGUCCCGGGACUCCAUGGCCUUUCAUCUCAAUGUGAGUCUAGAGUUGAUUCAAAUGCGGCGCGAUGGGUGAAUUAACCCCCAAGACCCAGCUUUCAAUGGGCUCAGCUAAGAGAUUAUACGUGUUGAUGGCAGGCUUUUAUAUGCGCAGGGCUUUCAAAAGAAACUUCAGCUGUUAAUUCAAGGCACCACAGUCGUGACCCUCCACCUCAUCUACAUCUUCCAUUUCUUGUAACCUUCUACUAGCUUUGUGUUUUUCUAGACUCCAUCUUUUUCUCUGCACUGUGAGAAGGAAAGUAUUAGAUGUGAUGAAUCUAUGUUUGAGCUGAGAAGUUCCUUAUGGGGCUCAUAUGGGCCGUCCCAGUCUCAGAAGUUUCAC
rnacentral:lncRNA from 8 species